rfam:Ovis aries breed Texel chromosome 1, whole genome shotgun sequence.
UCCCUCCUGACUCAGCCAGUAAGGAGUCUGCCUGCAAUGCAGGACACCCAGGUUCAAUCCCUGGGUUGGGAA